ensembl:lincRNA Gm37387 predicted gene, 37387
UUUUUUUUUUUUUUUUUUUUUGUCACAAUCUUACAAUCUUAUACUCUUGCUUUCUGGAAAAUCACGAUAAACAUAAGUGAGCUUUUAUUGUAUGUAUACAACCACCCACAAAAAACCUAAAACAAAAGAAAAUGGAGGAAGUACAAAGAAUUUAACCAAACUUAGAUAAUCCAGAAAUAUUUGGCUCUUAGUUCUUUUUAGCAUCCUCAAUAGCUAUACAUGUACAUGGUACACAGCCACCAUAUCUAACUCCUCACCUGUAUGUGUGCGUGUGUAUUUGUGAUAUAUAUAUAUAUAUAUAUAUGGCACAUAAUUUUCUAUGCACAGAUAUUUCCACCCUCAAUAAUAAUGGAUUUUUCAAAGACAUAAAGCUUUAUGAAAAGACACAUAUCAUCUGAUUCAUGAGUACAUUCACUAUCUCAGCUGUUACUCAAUGGUGUUUAAUAAUUUGUGAGUAGCAGGUAAUAAAUCAUUCAGUCUAGAUAGAUGGAGAGGCAAAAUCAGGGACACUAUGGUAUUUCUUUUAGUAAGACACAUGUGAUGAAUGAAGAAUAAACUGAAGACUUGAACUGGAAGGUUGUCGAUGGGAAUGACAAGAAAUGGUUGUGUAUAACACAUGUAGGUAAAUAUCUACCAAAAAUUGGUAGAGAGUUAAAGGCUAGCCUGGGCUACAGGAGAUCCUACAUCAAAGAACCAAAGGAGAAAUUGGUUCAAACUGUUAACAUCUGAAGGGAUAGUUAUAUAAACAGCAGUUUGACUGAUAUAUUGAGUGCUUGAUUCUUUAAUAAAACUACAUGAAUAACAUUGUGGGGGAGGGAAGCAGUAAUGUAGAAGUCUGGAUGGUGGAAGAGUAGUAGAGACAACUUAAAACUCAGUUUUAGACUUUUGUUCUGAGAUGGGUAUAAGAGUGAUCAUUAAAUGAAGAGGGUUAAGACACCAGGAGAAUUAUUUUACGAUAGAACUAAGGCAGUCAAGCUCCACAUGCCUACACUUAGAAGGGGAAAGUAAGGAUCAAAGUAGAAAGCCUAACAAUUAGUCAGAAGAGCAUAUUACAUCAGGCAGCAGAAGCCGAUAGUGGAGAAAAGUUAAACAAGGAGAAAAUAAUUAACCACGUUGGCUUGGGAAAGAGAAGAGAAAAUGGCAAGUCUAAAUGAAUGCAAACUCUUAAAGGGGUUUUCCCAGAGGGUGUGGGCUGAGGACCAGAACAUUUGCAAAAAUGUUGAGAGAUUAAAAUAGAAGAUCCCGAUGACUAAUCUUAGUUUAUUAUUGUAGUUAGACUUUUAUCUUUAGGUUACAGAGCAGAGCUCAGACUCUGGAGACCACCAAGAAUGUAACAGCGGAAUGGAAAUAAGGUCAGACUGGGGAAAGCAGCUUUUUACUCAGGCUGCAGAUGUCCCGUUUUCAAAUAAAGCUCAAAAGCCCUAGGUUUGGGAGAAGAGGAGAGAUGGAUCCUGAGAAUGGAUGGUCAGGGAUGGUAUGGGAGAACUUGGCAAAACCGCACUCUUCUGUCCAGUGUAUAGGAUCUGUGACAGUAUUCUUACAUGCAUUGUCUCAUGUACCCUAUUAAAUGUCUUUACACAAACUUCAAA